rnacentral:misc_RNA from 1 species
GAUGAAGAACGUAGCGAAUUGCGAUAAGUAAUGUGAAUUGCAGAAUUCAGUGAAUCAUCAAAUCUUUGAACGCACAUUGCGCUCCUUGGUAUUCCGGGGAGCAUGCCUGUUUGAGAAUCAAUAAAUCUCUCACCAACCGGUUCAGUUUGAUUCAAUCAUUCGGGGCCUGGAGGUGGAUUUGAGUCCUUUGCGUUCAUCUGAACGCAAUGACUUUAAAUUUAAUGUCUGCAGCUUACCCUCUUUCCUGUGCUUGGCUUUGAGUGCAUGAACUGUUUUAAUUAACUUAGAUUUCACUCGCUGAGCCCUUUUUCGGUAGAAGGUGCAGUCGGACCCAACCAUUACAUCCUUGCAACGUCGGAAAGAUUUUCGACACCGCAUCGAAUACUUGGUCUCAAAUCAGGUAGGAAAACCCGCUGAACUUAAGCAUAUCAAUAAGCGGAGGA